rnacentral:rRNA from 1 species
GUACGGCCGCAAGGUUAAAACUCAAAUGAAUUGACGGGGGCCCGCACAAGCGGUGGAGCAUGUGGUUUAAUUCGAUGCAACGCGAAGAACCUUACCUGGUCUUGACAUCCACGGAAGUUUUCAGAGAUGAGAAUGUGCCUUCGGGAACCGUGAGACAGGUGCUGCAUGGCUGUCGUCAGCUCGUGUUGUGAAAUGUUGGGUUAAGUCCCGCAACGAGCGCAACCCUUAUCCUUUGUUGCCAGCGGUCCGGCCGGGAACUCAAAGGAGACUGCCAGUGAUAAACUGGAGGAAGGUGGGGAUGACGUCAAGUCAUCAUGGCCCUUACGACCAGGGCUACACACGUGCUACAAUGGCGCAUACAAAGAGAAGCGACCUCGCGAGAGCAAGCGGACCUCAUAAAGUGCGUCGUAGUCCGGAUUGGAGUCUGCAACUCGACUCCAUGAAGUCGGAAUCGCUAGUAAUCGUGGAUCAGAAUGCCACGGUGAAUACGUUCCCGGGCC